UAAUGGCUUGUCGGCUGGGAU
rnacentral:misc_RNA from 1 species